AGAUACCCAGAUCCUCUGAACCCGCAGCGUUCAGACUACGUGCACCUCUGCAGCAGGGGCAGGUCUGGUGCCA
rfam:Branchiostoma floridae genomic scaffold BRAFLscaffold_258, whole genome shotgun sequence.